UACGGGGGGGGCAAGCGUUGUUCGGAAUUAUUGGGCGUAAAGGGCGCGUAGGCGGGUUGUCAAGUCCGGGGUGAAAGCCCCCAGCUCAACUGGGGAAGUGCCUUGGAUACUGGGAACCUCGAGGGAGGUAGGGGCGUGCGGAACUUCCGGUGGAGCGGUGAAAUGCGUAGAUAUCGGAAGGAACACCGGUGGCGAAAGCGGCGCGCUGGACCUCUUCUGACGCUGAGGCGCGAAAGCCAGGGGAGCAAACGGG
rnacentral:rRNA from 1 species